rnacentral:rRNA from 1 species
AUGCAAGUCGAAGAAGGAUUGGCCCGUGCUGCCGGCUGGCGUCAAGUUCGAUCCCACGGAUCAGGAGCUGACAGCACGAGAUUUCAGUCUCUCAUUGAUUUGUUCAUACCAACCAUCGACAGCGAGCAUGGCAUAUGUUACACCCAACCUGAGAAACUUCCACGUAUCACACUGAGUGGCCUAACGAAGCAUUUCUUCCAGCGCAAUUCCAGGGCGUUCAAAAGGGGCGCGUGGACGCGUCGCAAGAUACAGUCAGAGUGCGGCAUGCACGCGAUGUGGCACAAGACCAGCAAUACCUUGCCGGUGAUGGUCAAUGGCCGUUAUCAGUCUGUACUUGCAGAAUUCUUGUUUAUUGAGCACGCCCAGCCCAUGAUGACAACGGGGCACAAAUAUCCAGCAUGUAUCUACUGGCCUCUGGCCCGCCAGCGUUAG